UACGGAGGGUGCAAGCGUUAUCCGGAUUCACUGGGUUUAAAGGGUGCGUAGGCGGAUUCUUAAGUCCGUGGUGAAAUCUCCAAGCUUAACUUGGAAACUGCCAUGGAUACUAUUAGUCUUGAAUGUUGUGGAGGUUAGCGGAAUAUGUCAUGUAGCGGUGAAAUGCAUAGAUAUGACAUAGAACACCAAUUGCGAAGGCAGCUGGCUACACAAAUAUUGACGCUGAGGCACGAAGGCGUGGGGAUCAAACAGG
rnacentral:rRNA from 1 species